rnacentral:rRNA from 1 species
UACGUAGGGGGCAAGCGUUGUCCGGAAUCAUUGGGCGUAAAGAGCGUGUAGGCGGCCCGAUAAGUCCGCCGUGAAAGUCCAGGGCUCAACCCUGGAAUGCCGGUGGAAACUGUCGGGCUGGAGUCCGGAAGAGGCGAGUGGAAUUCCUGGUGUAGCGGUGAAAUGCGCAGAUAUCAGGAGGAACACCAAUGGCGAAGGCAGCUCGCUGGGACGGUACUGACGCUGGAGGAAGCGA